UACGUACUGUGCGAACGUUAUUCGGAAUCACUGGGCUUAAAGGGUGUGUAGGCGGCUUGACAAGUAGGGUGUGAAAGGCCUCGGCUCAACCGGGGCAUUGCGCUCUAGACUGUCUAGCUCGAGCAAGAUAGGGGUGUGCGGAACUUCCAGUGGAGCGGUGAAAUGUGUUGAUAUUGGAAGGAACGCCGGUGGCGAAAGCGGCACACUGGGUCUUGUCUGACGCUGAGACACGAAAGCCAGGGGAGCGAACGGG
rnacentral:rRNA from 1 species